rnacentral:lncRNA from 10 species
CCCUCUUAGGUCUGCUUGGUUAUCUCCAUUUUGUGAAGAUUGAUCAGGAGACUCUGUUAAUCAUUGAUUCCCUUGGCAUUCAGAUGACUUCAUCUUAUGCUUCAGGCAAAGAAAGCACUACCUUCAUAGAAAUGGGCAAGGUCAAGGAUAUUGUCAUCAAUGAGGCCAUUUACAUGCAGAAGGUGAUUUACUACCUCUGCAUCUUAUUGAAAGAUCCAGUGGAACCACAUGGGAUAUCCCAAGUAGUACCCGUCUUCCAGAGACAGAGUCUCACUUUGUCACCUAGGCUGGAGUGCAGUGACAAUCACCACUCAUUGCAGCCUCCACCUCCCAGGCUCAAGAAAUCCUCCUGCCUCAGCCUCCUGAGAACUUGGGACUACAGAGUGCCAAGCCCCGGCUGGACUGCUUGAUUGAAGUAUACAGGAGCUGCCAGGAGAUCCUGGCACACCAGAAAGCCACAUCAACAAGCCCAUGAGCCCCAGCGUUCAGAAGGCCAGCAUUGUCUUCCAUGGGAGAUGACUCUUAAGCCAUAGGGGCUGGUUUUCCGUACUCCAAACCAUCAGGUGGACACAGUCCUAGGAACCAUUAUGGAUGUAGUGCAUCUUAGAGCCAUAGAGCAGGUGACUGGAAAUCUAACUCAGUAUAUUUCCGUGUAUUAUAGUGUUUUCCUUGUAAGGUUUUGCCUACUUUACCAAAGGAGGGGAGACCUUAAGAAUUUUGACACAGUAUGUCAAAAGUAAUGUCAGCAAAGAACACUUUCGGAAAUUGCUAAGCAUGUUCAGGUUUACUUUGUUGAUGUUUGUGAAGCAAAACAAUGGGAAACUGACAUCAGAUGUCUUGA